UGAAAAAUGGUCGUGUUAUUGUUUUGGAUAAAUACAUAUAUGUUAUUUAUUUGGCAUAUGGAGCAUAUUAGGUUGCUAAUGUAUACGGGCUGUGUUCUUUCUGGUUAAAGUUACGAGUGUGUUGUUCGUUAUGUUUUUGAAACGUGUAGGUUCUUUAUAAUAUAAAUUGCUCAGUCAAUACCAAGUACAUACCACAUUUACCGUUGCCAAUUUUUGCAUGUAUUGUAUGUACAAUUGAAAUUCUCAAAACGUUUCUGCGUAUUUAUGUAUGUAUACUUUUAAAUAUAUUUAUUAUCAUGCAUUUAUGAUUCAAACUUAACGAAAUGGAACAUGCAAGGUGCGUCGAAUAGCACACAAAUAGCCCACUUGUUGAUUUCAUUGCAACGCAUUGCUGUCGCUGUCGCGGUCGCGGUCGCGGUCGCAAUCGCAGUCGCAGUCGCAUCCCGCGCUAGGCGGCGUCCAUCUUUGGAAAGUAACCGUAAAAUUAUCCAUAAUUUGUUUCCUCGAUGGCUGGAGUGGAAUUUCACUUUGAAAAUAGUUUAUUUGUGGGUAAAAUAAAAACAAACAAAAAUAAAUUAAUGCCAUUUCUUUUCGCACGCACCUUGCAAUAGUUUCACUUGUCUAUAUAUGUAUGGUAUGUAUAUGUAUAUGUAUUGUAUGUUUUUAUGUAUAUUCAGGACUAAAAUGUUGUAUAUGGUUUGGUAUAGUGUUUUUUAGUUAACGUUUUGGCGUUUCGUUUUGCAGAUUUCAAGCAAUAUUUCUCUCUGCAAUAUCUAUUAAAUAGUCAAUUGCUUAUUGAAUUUAUCAUUUUUGAUUAACUUAUACAGACCGUCAUUAAACAUUAAACUUUCAACUAAUUCUUGACAAUUGUUCGACGUUAGGUUACAUAAUUACUAAGGGGAUAAUACAAUACAAUACAAUACAAUAUAUUACGAUACGUGUCUCUUUAAAAAAAAUUAAAUUCGCUCAAUUGUUUUGUUGCAGUUUGCUUGUGUUGUUUUUGUUGUUUUUUUGUUUAAACAUAUUCUAACAUUGUUGAGUUUUGUGUUCAAAUUGACAAUCUGAUCAACCAAUUUCCAUAUAAUACAAUAUUUAUUCGUUUGCAUUCCGUUUGCACACAGUUCGCUAUUUUAUUUUUGUUGUUGUAUUAAUAUGUUUGUUUUUUAUUUUUCUUUUAUUUAUUUUGUGGUUUUCUACUCAAAUUUCGCAGGUGGAAAUACUGGAAACACUAACAAAUGCCAAGAUGACUUGGACAAAGUCAGUCUGGAUCCCAGCCACCAAGUCAUCGAAGGAAACGAGGCGGCGGACGUACUAGCUAAGGAAGGCAUCGGGCUGGCGAAUAUAAGAACCGAGAACGUGCCGGUCUCCCUAAGAACGCUGAAAGAGAAGCAGGCCAGAUCACAAACCGAAAGUAGGUGGAG